rnacentral:tRNA from 2 species
UGCGGGAUGGAGCAGUCUGGUAGCUCGUCGGGCUCAUAACCCGAAGGUCGUCGGUUCAAAUCCGGCUCCCGCAACCA